rnacentral:rRNA from 1 species
UCCUACGGGAGGCAGCAGUGGGGAAUCUUCCGCAAUGGACGAAAGUCUGACGGAGCAACGCCGCGUGAAUGAAGAAGGCCUUCGGGUUGUAAAGUUCUGUCUUCAGGGAAGAAAAAAAUGACGGUACCUGAGGAGGAAGCCCCGGCUAACUACGUGCCAGCAGCCGCGGUAAUA